UUACGCGCCUGCGCUGCUGAACAGUACCCGGAUGAUAUAGUUUGUGUGUGACGUAAACAAGAUGGCAGCGGUGCUUAUCUCAUAAAUUCACACGCACCGAUCGCAGAAAUGAAAAAGAGUCAUUUAUAUUCCACGCAGCUUAUUUUCAGAACGGAUUAUAUUCAUAUCUGGCUAUUCUUCUGAUUUUUCCGAUUUUUGUUGCGGUCGGAAGGACCACAUUUUGAAGGCAAUUUAAUAUAAACAUGUCUGCCAAAGUGGACACCGUGGAGAGAAGUGAGUCAAGUACAAAAAGCAGACGUAGUUCUCACAGCAGAGGAAGAGAAAACGAAAACCGGAAACGAGCAAGAAGCCGAAGCAGAUCAUCCUCAUCAUCUUCCAGUUCUUCCUCCUCCUCAUCAUCCUCCUCUUCACGGACUUCAUCCAGCAGUUCAUCAUCACGUAGUAACUCCAGCUCUGAUAGCUCAGAUUCUUGCAAAAAACAAAGAAAGUCUUCAAAGAAAA